rnacentral:rRNA from 1 species
GAUGAACGCUAGCGGCAGGCUUAACACAUGCAAGUCGAGCGGGCGUAGCAAUACGUCAGCGGCAGACGGGUGAGUAACGCGUGGGAACAUACCUUUUUGUUCGGAACAACACAGGGAAACUUGUGCUAAUACCGGAUAAGCCCUUACGGGGAAAGAUUUAUCGCCGAAAGAUUGGCCCGCGUCUGAUUAGCUAGUUGGUG